rnacentral:tRNA from 1 species
GGAGAGGUGGCUGAGUGGAUGAAAGCGCUGGUCUUGAAAACCAGUGUACCUUUCCGGUACCGUGGGUUCGAAUCCCACCCUCUCCGCCA